AUUUCCUACGGGAGGCAGCAGUAGGGAAUUUUCGUCAAUGGGCGCAAGCCUGAACGAGCAAUGCCGCGUGAACGAGGAAGGUCUUCGGAUCGUAAAGUUCUGUUGAAGGGGAAAAAGAGCGGAGAGAGGAAAUGGUCUCCGAUUGAUAUUACCCUUCGAGGAAGUCACGGCUAACUACGUGCCAGCAGCCGCGGUAAUACGUAGGUGGCGAGCGUUAUCCGGAAUGAUUGGGCGUCAAGGGUGCGUAGGCGGCCUGCUAAGUCUGGAGUGAAAGGUACCGGCUCAACAGGCACAGGAACUGGAAA
rnacentral:rRNA from 1 species